rnacentral:rRNA from 1 species
UACGGGGGGGGCAAGCGUUGUUCGGAAUUACUGGGCGUAAAGGGCUCGUAGGCGGCCAACUAAGUCAGACGUGAAAUCCCUCGGCUUAACCGGGGAACUGCGUCUGAUACUGGAUGGCUUGAGUUUGGGAGAGGGAUGCGGAAUUCCAGGUGUAGCGGUGAAAUGCGUAGAUAUCUGGAGGAACACCGGUGGCGAAGGCGGCAUCCUGGACCGUAACUGACGCUGAAACACGAAAGCGUGGGUAGCAAACAGG